AUGUUUCUUUGCAGCAUCAACCGCAGCCAGUUUCCUGGCGGUGUCUCUGUCUCUCGCUAGAGUACAAGUUCCACGAGGGUAGUAUCGCCAUUUGGCCGCACUUCCGCAGGGCCAGGAUAACGUCCUGAUUCUCAAUAAACGUCUGUGAAGUCGGGGGCUGGAAAGAUGACAGCAACGCAAAGGUGCCAGCGGCCAAACUGAGACAGUGACCAGUGAUGUUUUCUGCCACCACCGAAACUGGAAGCUGAAAAGAGCAAGAGGCUCUGCUGCUCAGUCUUUUAUUCCUUCCUCCGUACACGCCCCUAGCCACGCCCAAAGUGGGUCUGGCUAGUGACGAAGUUCACCGCCUAUAUACGGCUUUAGUGGGUGUGGUUAGCAGUGCGGUAAACUGCCCUUUUAUUACCUCAUCUGUAUGCGCCUCUAAUACACCACAUGGCUAAUGGCGGAGUACUAAGUUUUCCCCUACAGACCAGGACCCAGAUCACGGGACUCUUGUAAGCCGCCGUCCUUUGACUUCGCAGUGACAGACGCCUACACCACACAAGCAAUAGAAAUGGGUACGCUGGAAGCUGUUGCCCUUUUCACCGAGAAAAUGGAAACAACAAUAAGAAAAGAAUUCAAUAAGCUGCCACCAACACAACCACCACCCACCAACAGAGUACAUCCAAACUCAGCUUUCUUGUUACUGUGAAUAAAUUUAACAAAGCCAACUCUUCUGAAAA